rnacentral:rRNA from 1 species
CCUUGUUGCUUCGGUGCGCCCGCCUCACGGCCGCCGGGGGGCUUCUGCCCCCGGGUCCGCGCGCACCGGAGACACCAUUGAACUCUGUCUGAAGAUUGCAGUCUGAGCAUAAACUAAAUAAGUUAAAACUUUCAACAACGGAUCUCUUGGUUCCGGCAUCGAUGAAGAACGCAGCGAAAUGCGAUAACUAAUGUGAAUUGCAGAAUUCAGUGAAUCAUCGAGUCUUUGAACGCACAUUGCGCCCCCUGGUAUUCCGGGGGGCAUGCCUGUCCGAGCGUCAUUGCUGCCCUCAAGCACGGCUUGUGUGUUGGGCUCCGUCCCCCCGGGGACGGGCCCGAAAGGCAGCGGCGGCACCGAGUCCGGUCCUCGAGCGUAUGGGGCUUUGUCACCCGCUCUGUAGGCCCGGCCGGCGCCAGCCGACAACCCAUCAUCCUUUUCAGGUUGACCUCGGAUCAGGUAGGGAUACCCGCUGAACUUAAGCAUAUAAAACG